UUUGCAUUAAUAGGGUUCAUUAGACAUAUUUUUCUUGUUUAAAAAAAUCAAAAAAACCCUGGCCAAUCCGACCCGGUUCGACCGGACCAGAUCAGCCCGACCCGGUCGUUCUCCCCUUCUUCUUUUUUCUCACGUGGGCCGGCCCAACUCUUCUCACCUUCGGCCUGGCCCGGCCCACCUCUUGUCUCUUUCUCCUUUUUCCCUUGCAAUGAAGCAGAGGAGAGCGUCGCGUACGGGUACAGGGGGCGUCGCGGAGCAAAGCGCUGCAGCAGGCGGCGGCGUCGAUCGUCGAGGCGCAGAGCAGAGGGGCAGCCGUGGUACCCAAAGCGAGGAGGUUAUCCUCUUCUCUCUCGGCGUUAAAAGAAGGAGGGGAGCUCGGUGAACAGGGGAGGAAUCAGAGAGAGAGAAAGACCGAGGAAGAAAAGGAGGAUCGAGGGGUCCUUAGAGAGGAGAGUGUUCCGGCCGCUCCAUCGGAGGCGGCCAGACAAAUCUCCUCCCCCUCUCCACCGUGCGUCGAGAGCCGAGCUAACCGUCCCCUCAUUUCCGGUCGUCGGAGAUCCAUGCGGGGCAGGAAGUUGAAAACAGAGAGAGUUCGGAGAAGAGAGAACAAAGAGCGAGAGGAGGAGACCGAGAGAGAUUGGUGAGUUUUCGAGUCUUACCCGCUCGCCGUCGGACCACCCGAGACGCCGUCGAACCCCCCCAGCCGUCGCGCCUCACUCCGGCCAGCCGCAAACAAGUAGGUUCUCAUCCUUGUCUUCCCCUGUUUCCGCCCCUUUUCCCCUGCCUCUCGGGUGCCAGGCACACCGAGCCCAUUCGGUGAUCGCCCGGCCUCGUCGACCGAAGUGAACAUUUCUUUGACACCCAGUGAGGACGGUCUAAACGCUAUAUGUCGAAAAUCGACCAUAAACUUUGUCAAAAUCGGAUCUGUGACUCCAUUCUCAGGCUGCACCACACCUGUUUGAUCAAAUGUCCAAACCAAACUGUUUAAGCUUUUAGUGUCAAAUCUGGUCGUGUUGUUUUUUAGCAUUUCGUUGCCAACUCAGAUGGAGCUAGAGUGAAAUAUACCAGUCUAGAUCUUCACAUAUCAUGAUAGGGCCAAAAAGUGUGUUGGAUGUCACUUUAGAACACACAUCUCAACUUGCACGUUACAUGUUCAAUGAAAUGUCCAAAUGAGGAACCGAAUUAAUUUUCACGAAUCAAUGCUUGGAACUUGGUUUUUUAUACUUGAUUAGUUCUCAUAUAUGUUGAAUGGUAACUGAAAUCUAUAUUUUUUAUGUGGUUUUAUUGCAAUGUGCACUUCGUUCGAGUCGGCCGUGUGUGCACAGUCCCUCACCGGAGGAGCAACUCCCUUGCCGAUGAAGCCUACGGUUGAGGGUCGUCCCUGUUAGCUCCCUGGCCUUCCCACUCCUUCGCAGGAGUGCUUAUUUGCUUAUCGUCCUUGACCUGAGCCUACUGAUCCAUCAACGGCGACUGUCCCUGCCUCAUGAGCUCGCCGGCGAUCAUGUUUCUGCUCUUUGUGCCUUGUUGCUGCAGUCCAACCGAGCUCCCGAUCCGCGACACUGCAGCUGUCGAGCCACUACCUUGGCCAAGCAUCACCACCGCAAGUCCCACAAAUCCGCGAGGUAGUCACCGACCCCCCUUGCCGCGAGCACCACCAUGGCUAUCCUUGGCCAAGCACCAUCCUUGCCGAGACCAUCACUAGCGUGCCCUCGACAUUUAAUCCAUUGCCGUUCGUGAGGCACCGCCAGUCAUCGAUCUCGAGCUGGCCGUCAAGUUCAAAUUUGGAAGUCAAUCUUUGAAUUAGGUAACGAUCUCACGUGAUAUAAAUUUGAAUAUUUCAUUAUCUAAUUUGAUGGUUUUUUGUUAUCUUUGAGUUAUAUUGCAUAUCUCCAAGAUUACUA